rnacentral:rRNA from 1 species
UACGUAGGGGGCAAGCGUUGUCCGGAUUUAUUGGGCGUAAAGAGCGUGUAGGCGGCCAUACAGGUCAGCUGUGAAAACUCGAGGCUCAACCUCGAGACGUCGGUUGAAACCGUAUGGCUAGAGUCCGGAAGAGGAGAGUGGAAUUCCCGGUGUAGCGGUGAAAUGCGCAGAUAUCGGGAAGAACACCCGUGGCGAAGGCGGCUCUCUGGGACGGUACUGACGCUGAGACGCGAAAGCUAGGGGAGCAAACAGG